rnacentral:lncRNA from 1 species
AUUUUCUCUUACAGGUCACAGCUUCUACCACCAAGUAGACACUGAGACAUGACAGCAUCGUUACUAUAAGGUGACCCUUCUCUAGUUUUCACCUCCGAUAUAAAGCCCAGGAAGACUGACGCCAGGAAUCUUACCAUGCCAGCCAGAAUACUGAAGAUAAUUCAUAUCUCCAUUUAUCAUUCAUUAGAAUAGAACUCAAAUCUCCUAAAUUACAGGAAAGGCAAGAAAGCACUUCUCGGAUAUUGGGCCAACACUUCAAGAAAGAACCAUUGUAUAAAAGAGGACACUAGUAGCCUGUGUUUUCAAGUUGUUACGUAGAUUCUUCGUCAUCCACUUAGCAGCCUCACCAAGAGCGCUGCAAUCCGUUGGUCUCAA